rnacentral:lncRNA from 1 species
CUCAGCAGAAAUAAAAGAAAAGAAAAGGCAAAACUGAACUUCCCAUAAACCCAAAUCCCAUAUAGCACAGCUUUCUACAAGACCAUAAUUAAAUAAUCCCUGAAGGACUUGUGGAGGAGGGGAUAAGAAUACAUAAACUUUCCAAUAUGAUGAAAGAAAAGACCCUGUUAUUAUUAUUGGAUUUUAUUUUUAAGAAGGAAAAAACUAAAACCAACUUACUUAAGGUGGUAUACAUGGGAAAAUUAUUCCAUGCUGGGCAAGUAUCCAUAUAAGUCAGUCCUGAUACUCAAUAAAACAGAAAUUAAAAGAUGUCUUUGAAAUUGGAAGUCUGCAAGUAGAUUGUGGCAUUGUUUUUAAAAGUGCACAGAUUCAGCACCAGACAAAGGCCUUCAGCUCUGCAUCUGGACUAUUACAUUUGUUCCCAAGCAUUUAUUUAACAUUUUUUUCUUCUAGUUCAAGAUCUGAGAUGAGAGAAGCUUCUAGCAGAAAAUCUGUUUUACAGGAAGUUCUUUACUAAAUGGGAGCCUUCUUUGUUAAACAGAGGAGUCACAUACCUGUCCAAGGCCACCCAUGUAGACAGGCAAAUAGGUAGAAAGAGUGACCAGAAAAGGUAAGGAUUUCUUGUCAUCAUUUUACCUUAUCAAAUUAAAAAGCAAACUAUUGGUAUAACAUGUAAUUGUGAGAUUUGUAAAUUCUCUUUGGUCAUAUUUCUUCAGGAGGGUUCACUUUUAGUGAAAUGGUUUUCCUCAGACAGAAAAAUACCUCAUUGGGAAAACAUCUCUCAGACUGUUACAAACUAAAAUAUUGAUAGAGUCUCCGGUCUGCUAACUCUCCAACCAUGGGAAUCACCCUGCCUCACACCAGUGACACUGAAGUACCUGAGUUUCUCUAAAUAGUAGAAACCAUUAGGACAUCUGGGAAAGCCUAUGAGACAGCUGAAGAGACAAACAAGGCUCACACUUUCCUCUUUCUUCCCUCUGAUGCAGUGCAACAGAAUCCAAUUCCAGCUGGACAAGAUGCAGGAAACUAAGACCUCAGGAGAGUCUUUUUUCACAGAAAUGACAGACCAGCUUUGCAAUCCCAGGGGACAAUGCUAGCAGAGAUAAGUAUCUAAAGUUAGAAAUGAUUAUCUGAGUUGAACUUACAAACCUUCUGCAGCUCACCAUAAUUCCCUAUUCCUUCUCUUACUAAUACAUGAAGGCACUGUAAAUUAAUGACCAUCAACCUGUCAGUUGUGAAUCAACAAUAUAUUUUACUUGCAGGAAUGCAGAAUCAAAACAAAUCCCCCUCAAACACCAGGGGUUUCUGAUGUACUCUUGGAACACAAAAACAUCUGACACUAUUUUUGCCACAUAUCAUUAGUGAAAUUUGAACCUGUGCUGAAUCCUCAAGCGGCCUUUUCUUUAAACUGUGAGAGAAUUUUAGCAACUACAUUUGGUACCCCUGCAAACACAGGCAGAGACUGGUAAUAUGGACAGACCUCCACUUUGUGCAACACAAAUGGCACCAACUAUAAUAAAUAUGAGGAGUGAUUCCCA